rnacentral:rRNA from 1 species
GACGAACGCUGGCGGCGUGCCUAAUACAUGCAAGUAGAACGCACAGUUUAUACCGUAGCUUGCUACACCAUAAACUGUGAGUUGCGAACGGGUGAGUAACGCGUAGGUAACCUGCCUGGUAGCGGGGGAUAACUAUUGGAAACGAUAGCUAAUACCGCAUAAUAUUGAUUAUUGCAUGAUAAUUGAUUGAAAGAUGCUAUUGCAUCACUACCAGAUGGACCUGCGUUGUAUUAGCUAGUAGGUGAGGUAACGGCUCACCUAGGCGACGAUACAUAGCCGACCUGAGAGGGUGAUCGGCCACACUGGGACUGAGACACGGCCCAGACUCCUACGGGAGGCAGCAGUGGGGAAUCUUCGGCAAUGGACGAAAGUCUGACCGAGCAACGCCGCGUGAGUGAAGAAGGUUUUCGGAUCGUAAAGCUCUGUUGUAAGAGAAGAACGGGUGUGAGAGUGGAAAGUUCACACUGUGACGGUACCUUACCAGAAAGGGACGGCUAACUACGUG